rnacentral:lncRNA from 1 species
CUGAUAUUAUAAUUAUCGAGCUGUUACAUCCGAUCAGGUAGAAAGUUCAAAUUAAAUUACCUUUCAAAGAGAUUUUUAAUUACCAAUCACCGAUUAGACCUCUAGUGCUACAGAGUGGCUCUGGCGGUUAUAUGAUGGUGGAUUUCCACAACGCCCGCUGCCUUAUGUACAAAGUUUCAUCAACAUUCACGCUCUACUAUGUGAAUUUCAAGAGGUCCACAAUUAUGUUGUAGGUAGACCCGCAAGUGUAAAAAAAACAUUAAAAACGAAAAAACUAUGCUUAAUGCAAUCAAAGAGGACCCUACAACAAGUACACAAAAUUGCACGCAACCAAAUUUAAAUCACUUUUAAUGAGGAGACAAAUUGAGAUAGAUAGGUCUAUUUCUCAUAACCUAGAAAUCUAGAUUAAACAAAAAGCCACCAACUGUGGAAGUCUAGGGCAGAAGAAGAUAAUUCGGAAUAAUGAAUUUUCAAUGUUUAUUUCAUCUAGUUUUUGUACUUUAACCUUUUGUAUCUAAUUUUCAAUUUUUUUCAGAGUUGUUUGACAUAAUGCUUAAAUUGGAAUAAACACUGUGUUUUAUAGCAA